AAUAAACGAAUUCAUGUGUUUUUGAUAGAGUUUUUGACUCUUCGUCUUAUUUGAAAAUUUUUUAUAAUUAAUAUUUUUAUUGUUACUACAUGAAUACUGCUUUACGUGCGACUAAUUUUUUUUUCAAAUUUUUAAUAAUUUUUUUAAAUAAGACGGAUGGUCAAACGCUCGACCUAGAAAACCGAG
rnacentral:pre_miRNA from 1 species